UGUUUACACAUCCACUCACACCUGUGCACCCUCUGUAGUUCUAUGGUCUGGGGGACCCUGUCUUCCUUCUGUGGUUCUACGUCUUUACACACACACUGUAAUAAAGUUUUAUGGAAUGUACAUCGCGUCUAACGCAAUACAAUACAACUUUCAGCAACGGAUCUCUUGGCUCUCGCAUCGAUGAAGAACGCAGCGAAAUGCGAUAAGUAAUGUGAAUUGCAGAAUUCAGUGAAUCAUCGAAUCUUUGAACGCACCUUGCGCCCCUUGGCUAUUCCGAGGGGCAUGCCUGUUUGAGUAUCAUGAACACCUCAACUCUCAUGGUUUGCCAUGAUGAGUUGGACUCUGGGGGUUUUGCUGGCCUGUGGUCGGCUCCUCUCAAAUUAAUCAGCCUCCCAGUGUUUGGUGGCAUCACGGGUGUGAUAAAUAUCUAUGCUCGCUGUUGUCUGCCAGGUAACCUUUGGUCACAAAGGUUUGCUGGAGCUCACAGAUGUCUCUCCUCAGCGAGGACAGCUUUUUUAACGUUCGAUCUCAAAUCAGGUAGGACUACCCGCUGAACUUAAGCAUAUCAAUAAGCGGAGGAAAAGAAACUAACAAGGAUUCCCCUAGUAACUGCGAGUGAAGCGGGAAAAGCUCAAAUUUAAAA
rnacentral:sRNA from 1 species